UUUAAUAAUUUUAUGUUUUUUGAGAUGAAGAUAGUGUCUGAUUCGCUACGUUCAUUUUUCAGACACUAAUUCGUCUAAAAAUAUAAAGCAAUUAAACUUCGAAUAUUCAGCAUCUUGGGUACCAACUAUCAAGUAUUUAACCAACUAUACUAAUAGUUUUAGAUCAGAUAUAAAUAACAAUUCGGAUAAAUAUAGAGUUGACUUAAACUUUUAACACGUCAAAAUUUUGAUUUCGCUGUCUAACUUUUUAAUUUGUUUGGUUUGAGCUAGUCAACGGUAUUUUGAAUUUAAAAUAUAAAUGUGUACCGACCGUCCCUAGAGCAAGUGACAAAAGGCUUGGUGGUUGGUACCCGAGGUCGCAAGUUCGAAUCCCAGUUGAUUCACAUUUUCAGUUGAUUCACAUUUCAAGCUAAGUUUAUUUCUAUAUGUAAUAAACGAAACGAGUAGCGUGGUACCUCUCUCUUAAAAUAUAUAUAUAUAUAUAUNNNNNNNNNNNNCGUCGUUCAUCUUUACAAAUUUAAUUAAUAUAUUUUAUUUAAUUUUCAUAAUUAUAAAUUUAUUGAAAUAACUAAUUAGUUUAAAUUUUAAAGUCAAAAUAAUAUUGACCGACUAAAAUCAAUAAAAAAAAUGAAAAUUUUUAAAAGAUUAGAUAACCGACUCAACAUGACUCAUAAUACAAAUAAGUUCAGUACUUUUUUUAUCCAAAAUAUACACUAUAAAAGUCAUUUCGCGAUUGAAUGCGAUUCAAACACAUAUAAUAAUAAUAAUAAUAAUAAUACAGAAAAAAUAAAUAAACAAAAAACCUAUAAAUAAAGAAAAACAAAAACAAAACAAAAGCACUCAAAGCUAAAGCUUCUUUUGUAUCGCGAAACCCGAAGCGCUUAUUGAGCUUUUGCGCGUGUGGAGCGCAACAGCGCUGUAACGUAAAACAAAACGCGAGCCACUUCCACGUGCGCAUCUUUUGGAAGGAUUACUUUUUGGCCACAGCUCCAGUAACCGCAUUUGCUUUAUAACGUUCUCCUUUUUUAACCACUUUUUUUUUUGUUAAUUUACUAAAUCCUCGUUUUGGGAUCAGUAAAUAAUGAUUAAAUAAAAAUCACAUUAACCAAUGAGAGACCCUUGCAUUAAUUAGAUACGCGACAACCGGAAUAUUAGCAGGACCAAAUUUUAAACUCUCUUUAUUUUAAAAUUUGAUAUUAAAUUAUUAUUUCCAGGGAUUUGAGAAACCAUGGCAUAGGUUUCACCAUUUCCUGAGCCCUAUUUAUUGUUUAAAUAAAAGGUUAAAUGCAGUCAGAUCGUGCAAACAUAAUAAAUUAUAAAUAUAUUUUUAUAAAAUUUAAUUUUUAUAUUUUUUUAUAAAAAUUUUAAUAUUUUUAAAUAUGUGAUUUUGGAUUUGUUACUAUUAAGGAACUGUUUAUAUUUUCAAUUUUGUCAUCACAAAUAUUUUUUUUUUCAAAAGCCACAACAGUAUAAUAUAAAGGAGUAAAAAUGUCAAAUUAUCUCAUAAAUUAACUAGAGUUAAGUAUUUAAUCUAUGGAUAACUAAAUGUUUCUGACGAAUUCUAACGGCAGAAAUAUAUUUGAAAAUAUUAAAAUUUUUUCGGAGACUAUAUGAAAAUUGAACUCUAUAGAAAUAUAUUUAUAAUUCACUAUAUUUGUAUGGAUCUAUAUACAAUUAACCCUGGUUUAAAGUACAAGUUAUGUGUUAGUUGUACGCGACGGCAUUGUAUUAAAAGUUUAUUCUAACGUACGUUCGUUUUUAGAAAAACUAAUUAAGCGUCCACUAACUGCCAAAAACAUAAAUCCAAACUCGUUAAAAUUAUUCUAAUGAAUAUUCUAAGAUAAAUUAUAAUAUUACUGGUGAUGUUUAAUUAUGUUUUUGCUUCUUCUUUUACUCCCAUAUUAAAUUGACAAAAUAAAAGUUUUAAUAACACCAGUAAUUUUCAUUUUUUUUUUUUAAAAAAUUGUGUAAAUUUUUAAAAUGAAAAUAAGUAAUUGGGCUCAUGAAUAAAUCAUGUUGAGCAUCACAUUCGGAAUUGGUUCCACCAGCAAUCAAGCCUCUGAUGUUCUUUUACGAAAGCGACUAAAAAUAAAUAAAUAAAUAAAAUUCCUCUUACCAAGCCAUGGCACGUGGAAUGAUCCUUUGUCUUUCUCCAUAAAAAAAAUAAAAAUAUUUAAAAAGGUAAUAAAUUGCUCAAACUUUGCUGAAGAUAAAUAUUAUUUUUUCUUGUUUUUCCUUUUUUUUUUUUUAUUUGUCUCUAAAUAAGUUUUAUAUAUUUUUAAUUUAGUUAUAUAUACUGUAAAUAUUUUUCNNNNNNNNNNNNNNNNNNNNNNNNNNNNNNNNNNNNNNNNNNNNNNNNNNNNNNNNNNNNNNNNNNNNNNNNNNNNNNNNNNNNNNNNNNNNNNNNNNNNNNNNNNNNNNNNNNNNNNNNNNNNNNNNNNNNNNNNNNNNNNNNNNNNNNNNNNNNNNNNNNNNNNNNNNNNNNNNNNNNNNNNNNNNNNNNNNNNNNNNNNNNNNNNNNNNNNNNNNNNNNNNNNNNNNNNNNNNNNNNNNNNNNNNNNNNNNNNNNNNNNNNNNNNNNNNNNNNNNNNNNNNNNNNNNNNNNNNNNNNNNNNNNNNNNNNNNNNNNNNNNNNNNNNNNNNNNNNNNNNNNNNNNNNNNNNNNNNNNNNNNNNNNNNNNNNNNNNNNNNNNNNNNNNNNNNNNNNNNNNNNNNNNNNNNNNNNNNNNNNNNNNNNNNNNNNNNNNNNNNNNNNNNNNNNNNNNNNNNNNNNNNNNNNNNNNNNNNNNNNNNNNNNNNNNNNNNNNNNNNNNNNNNNNNNNNNNNNNNNNNNNNNNNNNNNNNNNNNNNNNNNNNNNNNNNNNNNNNNNNNNNNNNNNNNNNNNNNNNNNNNNNNNNNNNNNNNNNNNNNNNNNNNNNNNNNNNNNNNNNNNNNNNNNNNNNNNNNNNNNNNNNNNNNNNNNNNNNNNNNNNNNNNNNNNNNNNNNNNNNNNNNNNNNNNNNNNNNNNNNNNNNNNNNNNNNNNNNNNNNNNNNNNNNNNNNNNNNNNNNNNNNNNNNNNNNNNNNNNNNNNNNNNNNNNNNNNNNNNNNNNNNNNNNNNNNNNNNNNNNNNNNNNNNNNNNNNNNNNNNNNNNNNNNNNNNNNNNNNNNNNNNNNNNNNNNNNNNNNNNNNNNNNNNNNNNNNNNNNNNNNNNNNNNNNNNNNNNNNNUUACGAAAUUUAUUUUCUAGAAGUUUGAAAUACUCUAGAUCAUAUUUAACGGAGUGGAUCGUUGAUUCGGAAGCUCCAUCAUUGAAAACAACUUAUGAGUACGAGGGCUCCAAUACUCAUAAUAGUAUAGUAGCCAUGGCCUAUAUAUAUAUAUAUAGUGCGUCUGGUAUGCUUAUGGAAGUACGGAGCGCUCCGUGCUUCCACUUUGUUUUCGAUGUUCGGACUUUCGAAUCGACGAUCGGCUCCGUUAGACUUGAUCUAAAGUAUUUGAAGUAUCUAGAAAAUAAAUUUUGCGAUUUUUCGAUAUCAUUUGCCUAGUGAUCAAAGUGGCUCAAAAUCAACAGCUGAAAAUAAAAAUCUUACAAAAUAUGAUGAUAUGACAUUAAAAUUUUAGAUCAAAAUUAUUGAUCUUGUUUUAUAUGGUAUAAAGAAUUUUCUAUCAAAAUUUCAUGCGAUUUGGAUAUUUCUAUACCGUUAAACUUGCAAUCGGCUCACCACGGCCAUUAAAAUGAACGACUGAAAAUGAAUAUUCUUUAAAAAAUGAUGAUAGGAGUAUUGUAAUCAAGAUCAAAAGUAUAGAUCUUGUUUUAAAUAGUUUAAAAAAUUUUCUAACAAAAAUUCAAUUAAUUUGGAUAUCUUUACGCCGUUAAACGAGAAAACACCUCAUUUCGAUUAUUAAAAUUACAAAUUUUGAAACACUUUGAUCAUUAGGCAAAUGAUGUCGAAAAGAUUUGAAAUUUGAUUUCUAAACACUUCAAGUGGUAUANAAAAGGUAGCAUGCUACAUGCUUCGUUUAUUUCUUUUAAAAAUAAAUUUAGCUGAAAAUAUUAAUCAACUAUAAUUCAAACUAUUAUAUAUAUAUAUAUAUAUAUAUAUAUAUAUAUAUAGAGCAGGGCUGCUGUGCUCUCAGGAGCACGGAGGCCUCUGUGCUCCUGAGCCGUUUUCGAUGAUGGAAUUUCCGAAUUGACGAUCGGCUCCGUUAAACUUGAUCUAGUGUAUUUGAAGUCUCAAGAAAAUAAUUUUUGCGAUUUUUUGAUAUCAUUUACCUAGUGAUCGAAAUGAUUCAAAAUCAAUAAUUUUUAAUGGUUGAUAUCUGCCGUUUUCAAGUUUAGCGGUGUAGAAGUAUUCAAAUCAGAUAAAAUUUUGAUACAAAAUUCUUUAUACUAUCUAUAACAAGAUAAAUAUUUUUGAUCGAAAAUUUUAGUGCUAUAUCACCACUUUUUAUAGGAUUUUUAUUUUCAGCCGUUAAAAAUUAUUGAUUUUGAAUCCUUUCGAUUGCUAGGUAAAUGAUAUCGAAAAAUCGCAAAAAUCAUUUUCUAGAAACUUCAAAUACACUAGAUCAAGUCUAACGGAGCCGAUCGUCGAUUCGAAAAUUCUAUCAGUGGGGACCACUGAAUCCUAGGGGGAGCACUGAGGUCUAACCGACUGCUCUCAUUCUGAGCCUAUAAUUUUGCAUUCAAGGGUUGCAAAUUUGAUAUCAUAUAUAUAGUUUUAUUAUUAAUAGUAUUCCAGCCUAAUUCUAUAUAUAUAUAUAUAUAUACAGAGUCCGACCGCUAUACUUUUAUAAGUAUAGACCACUUUGUACUUCCGACAUUUUGAUCCUUGGAUCAAGGAUUAUAGAAUCGGGAUGAUAGUGGUCCCUCUUAAAAUUGAAUGGUUUCGUAGAGUCUAGUGGCUCCCCUAGUAUAAUAAUAUUAAUUUAGAGAUUAGAAAUGAUCAAAAAAGGAUUGAUCUUACGCUUCUAAAAAUAUAAUAGCUUUAUUCUCUCUCUCUCUCUCUCUAUAUAUAGUCUGGUUAUAAUGUUAUUAGUAACACCAAAUACUUGGUAUGCUAUGUUUUUCGUUGUUAGAUACCAAUAAUUAGUUUACAUUAUUAAAAAUAUUAUUUUAGACCGUAUACCUAGUUAGAGAUUUUUUUUUUUUUUGAGAGAUAGCAUACUAGUAUACAUAUAAUUGAAAUAUUAAAACUGAAUCUGAGUCAUUUGUUACGAAAUCGAUCAUUUGGGUGACAAGCGAUAUACACUAGGAGACAUCUUUUACUUUUUUUGAUUUUUGAUUUUAAUAACAUAUCUCAAAGUGCAUGCAGGUACAUUGUUACACAUGUGAAUGGGCUCCUCAAUUAUAACGAGGACAAAAACACUGGGCUCCUCCCCAUGAUGUGGGAUCACUCUUUGUGGAGAUAAUGGGCUAGGCUGGAACCAAUUAGAGGCUACAAUUAUCACUUAAUAUUUCUUUCUCUUUCUCCUUUUUUCUUUUUUUUUUUUUCUUAAUAAAAAUAUGUCACGAUGCAUGUUCUGUACGAUGUGAUAUAUUUUAAAUCAAGGUUGUUGAAAAUUAAUAAUCCGUUUUUUCAAGUGCUUAAUUUUUUUUUAGAAAAAAAGGAAAAAAAAUAUUAUCAGUACAAACUCUAGGAAAAGGAAAAUUUUGAUAUGGCGAGAAACUUAAUAAAAUUUAUCGGAAUCCAAAUACUUAGACGAAGCGGCGCAUGAAACUCUGAUAUACUGCAGAAGUUAGAGGAGCUACUGCACUGGGCACAAAGUCGAGAUCCUCGAAAGUCCUCGAAUCGUGGACUCGAGUCAAGUAUAUCCAAAAAUCGUGGAGUCGAGUUAAGUAUAUCCAAACCAGCUAUUAGUGUAAUAAAGACCAGACUGGAUUCAUAACUAUUUCAAAAUUUUUUUUCAGUUCACUUGGUAUUGAGGUUCAUCUUAUGUCAGUACUUAAAACGGAGUUAGAAAAAUAUGUCUAGAAAUAUCCUUCUUUAUUUUUUAAUGAAAUCGCAAAAGAUAUAUUUAACUAACUUACUAACUGCGAGAAAAUAUCAAAAUCUCUCUGCAAAACAUAACCCAAAUACUUAGAUAGGUUCUGUAAAUACGAUAUAUUACUCAGUUUUAUUAAGUUAAUUGGCCCAUUGGCCUGAUUUAAUGAUCCAACCAUAAGAUAGAUGGAAAUAUUUUCAUUGAAUCAUUGUUUCUAUCUCAAAUUUUACUUAGUUUUAAAACAAAAUCAAAGUGGAAUGCAAAAUUUGGAUGCACAUUUGGAUGAUACCACUACAACAGAAUUAGGUUAUAGGGACACAUGUUUGGGACACUUUUGAGUAAGUGUCCCAUUUAUGCUAAAACUUAAAAACACAUCUGCUAAUGUCUAAAUAUAAAGUCCAAUCAAACUAAAAAUAAAAUAUUACUCUACUCAACCCACCACACCCAGUCCAUUUGGCCCGAUUACAAACAGAAAAGAAAAAAAAAAGAAAAAUCAAUUACCAUCUUUUCUUCUCUCUUCACUCAAUCCACUGAAAUUCUAGACGAAGAGUCUUUACUGUCGUCCUCCUCCGCCACCGCAGCCAACGAGAUAGAGUUUCAGCGGUUGCUAAAUGCUUAAAUAAGUGUUGGAAAAUUAGCAGCACUCUUUUAGGUUAUAGCAACACUCUUUAACUGUCACUAUAUACCUAGCGACCCCACAUAUAGCAACAGUUUUUAAAAGUGUCGGUAAUUUUAGGUAGCAACACUUUUUUAACAUGUACGUAUAUUUAAAAGUGUCGCUGUAUAUCGUUUUUGUUGUAGUGUACUUUGACAAUAAAGAGUGCAUUUAGACGCCCUCCAUGAUACACACACACACACACACACACAAAAAAGAAAGGUUAGUUGCUGAUUUUUAACUUUUGAGAUAGCUUUUCUACUUUCCUUUGUCUACUAAUAUAAAAUAAUUCACAAAAUUCUUACUUUCAAUUAUUUGUUCUAAUAAUAAUAAUGUAACCAUUUUUUUUUUCUCUCGCUAGAUCCUAACGGAUCGAUAAACCACUUGACGUGAUGUAUUAAUUAGAACAUAUGAUAAGCCACAAAAAAAGAAAAGAACCAAAAGACUUAGUGAUUGGUAUCUGAAGUUUUAAGUUCGAAUCCUAAUUAAUUUAUAUUUUUAGCUAAAUCAUUUCUAAAAUGAAAUAAACGAAACGAAUAGCAUACUAUCUAUCUCUUAAAAAAAAAAAAAAAGAAAAAAAGAAGACAAGUACAAGAAAUUAUGAGAAUGAAAUUACUACAAGCAAGAGCUACGUGUGUGUUCGAAAAGGAGAGAUUGGGGACCAAUUUGGGGGAAUAUUAUUAUUAUGUACAUUAAAGAGUUUGAUGUUGCAGUAUCGUAGUAUCUAAUGAUUAAGUUGGGCAAUGAUAAGCUCCACAAAUCAACACCACCAUUAUUACAAACACAUUUAAGAAUCUAUAUAUGUAUGUCGUAUAUUUUUAUCCAUAAACAUGGCCAACAUUUUCCUUCUACCACUCUGCAUCUUCUUCUACCUAACCUUUAAGAAAAAUCAUGCUUAUGUUGUAAAAGAAUCAUAAUUCGAAUCAGAAAAAAAGGUUAAGGUAAGGAUUAGAAUGAUUGAUUACAUAAUUUGCUUGGUUUCCAGUUGAAUGAGAUACCGAAUGAACGAUCCAUUUCGCUUUGGAGUAAGAUUUGGCUUUGGAUUUAGGCCAAAGCCAUAACUGGGGGAUCAAAGAAUUGUUGGCGUUUUGUUUUUUCUUGUAUUUACAAAUAAUGAUCAUAACCCUAAUUUUCAUUUCCAGUACAAAACUUCUCAAAAUGAUAAAUGUUAUUUGUAUAUCUUUUUUUGGGAUAUAGAUUCUACAUCCUACUCAUUUUAUGAUGAAAAGAUAUUUACUAAUCACAUCAAUAUGAUUAGUGAAAAAAUUUUCACCUCGGAAUUGCUAGAUUGUAUAGUUUAUAUUGCCAUGGGAUGAUAAUAAAUGAGAGGAAACACUUUGUAAUGUAACACAACAGUGAAUUUAUUGGCAAAAUGUGAUUAAAAUAGUUCCUCCACUUUCAUGGACGGAGCCAUUGUGAGUCUCACAGUGACCAUGCAUGGCCUCUCUCAACAUUUAAAAAUUACAUACAACUCCUUUAUAGUAAAAAUUAAAAUAUUACAAACUUUAGUUUUAGAGGGCCAAGUUGAUUUUUUUUAAUAAAACUUGUGUUCUAAUUUUUUUUCGAACUCCUUAGCUCUUUCUCUUUAACUCCUAUAGUUUUGCUUCUCUUUGAGCACACUAUUACUAUUGUCGCUAGCAAUAGAAGGUCAGUGAACCCGAUGAACUCUUUUUCUUACUAUCUGAGUUCGAAUUUUUUUUCUGCCAAAUUUAAAUCUUGCCUCCUUAAAUCUUAAUUCCUGGCUUCGUCGCUGUCCACUUUGCAUGAUGUCAAAAGUAUAGGGUCUUUAUAUAUGACUAGCAUAUUAAUACCUGGAUUAGAUCAUUUCACAAAAUCAGGAUUAUAAUUAUUUUCAUCCACUAUUAUUCCAUUUUUAUUUUACCAAGCAAUGGGCAUGUGGUCUUUGUUGUGCACCACAACUAACAAGGGCAUAUAAAGAUACUGCAUGUAUAUUAAGACCAGUUCAGCGAAGUAUUAUGGCACAUUGCUAUUGAGUUUCAUGAGUCAAAACAAAGAGAAUCAUAUCGAUUAAAUAAGAAACAAAUAAGAUCUUCACUCAAACGAAAAAAGGAAAAAAAAAAAAUUGAGGCCUUGUUUGGGGCACAUCAUAAUUUCUUUUUAGUACAUCCUUUUGAUUUAUUUAAGAAGCUUAUAGUAUUUAGUAUAUAAGAGUGUAAUUCAAUAAGAAAGAGUGUAAUUAACUAAAUAAGAAACAAAUAAGACUUUCACCCAAACAAAAAAGGAAAAAAAAAAAACUUGAGGCCUCGUUUGAAUACAAGAAUAUCUUUUUUCUUUCAGUAUAUGCCUUUGAUUUAUUUAAGAAGCUUAUAGUAUUUAGUAGAUAAAAGUAUAAUUAAAUAUUCAAAAUGAAAUAGUAUAUAAAACUUUUAUUUAUUCUGACAUCCAAGUAAGGUCUAAGAUUCUUUUGGAUGUCGGAACAAGUUUUUUCGGUGAUAAUUUAAAUCCGGUGAUGAUUUUCUUUUUCGAUCAAAAAUUAGGAGUUCAAUUUUAGUCCAUAAUAGAUUUUGACAUUCAUAAGUUGAUAUAAUAGAACAUUUCAUAUAAAAGAAGAUAUAUUUUAUUCUGAGAAAAUUAACUUGAAGACUGAAUCUAAUAUUGCCGGUAUAAAUAUUUGAUUCCACUUCUCAUCUAUCAAAUAUUACAAGUUUUUUUUUUUUUUUCAAAAGAGAUAUGCGGUAGAAGAUGGUCAUGCAUUUAAACAAGUUCUAACAUUUUAUAUGAAUACUGGAAUAAUUAAGUUAUCUAGUGAUAAUUUAUGCAUUGUAAUAUUUUUAUAUUAUAACCUGAAAUUUUGAUUUCGAUUCAUUGAAAGGUCCUCGUUUCUUCCUUUUUUUUNCUUUUCAAAGGUUGAUAAGCAAUAAUGAUAACAAUUACUAUAGAAGUCCAAAAAAUAUAUAAUGCUUAUUAAAAAACAGGAGGAAAGUGGGUGAAAAUUUAAUCUUAUUAUCCAUUCAUGUGAUUAUUUAUUUUAUUCUAAUAGAAUAUGUUCAAUUACGUGUGCGCGCGCUUUUUGAAUAUCAAUACAGAAUUAUUUUUUUAUUUAAAAACAAGAAUAAUUGCCUAGUUGUGCUUUUAAAAGUGAGGCUUAGUAUAUAUGAAUCUUAGACGUCAUUUUUAUGAGACCAAAAUUUGUUGGUUUGUCUUCCUCAUUUUACCCUUUUUUUUUGGGUUCUAUGAAUUCAAAAUAUGUUUUAAACUUCAGAACCAUGGUUUACGUGUAAAUUGUAUACCUUAUACCUAAGCAUUUGCGUGGAAAUUUUUAAUACCAACUUCUAUGUAUAAAACCCUUGGGCAAUUAAUCCCUAGGGGCCUCAAAAGUUUUAUCCAAGUUGCAUCACCUUUUCCUAGAUAUUCUGAUUGAUCUAGCUUUGAUUUCCAAGCGUGUUUUCUCUGAUACACUCCGCUAAGAUGAGCUUGCCCUAGCUGAUGCACUUAACAAAGCAUUAAGUGGGAACAUGUGCCUUGUUCUAUUAAUUCAAAUCUAGGAGCUAAGAUGUGAUCUAAUGUUUAUAUAUAUAAUGCGCGGUGUAACCGGCUGCAUAAUGUCCUAAUCAUGUUUCGUUGUUCAAAUUUCACUUUUUUGUUCAUUAUCUUAUUAUGAUGCCCUAAGUUUAUCUAAUAUAUAGGAGUGAGGCUACUAUGCUAUCUGGAAGUACGGAUCCUUUCGUGUUUUCAGGUCGUUUUCGAUGUUGUGACUUUCGAAUCGUCGAUCGGCUCCGUUGAACUUGAUCUAGAGUAUUUGGCGUACCUAGCAAAUAAAUUUUAUUAUUUUUCGAUAUCAUUUGCCUAGUGAUCGAAUGGGCUCAAAAUCAAUAAUUUUCAAUGGCCGUAGUGUGCCGUUUGUAAGUUUAACGGUGUAGAAAUAUCUAAAUGACGUGAAAUUUUGAUAGAAAAUUCUUUAUACUAUAUAAAAUAAGAUCAAUAUCUUUGAUUUAAAGUUUUAAUGUCAUAUUAUUACAUUUUGUAAGAUUUUUAUUUUCAGCCGUUGAUUUUGAGCCCCUUCGUUCACUAGGCAAAUGAUAUCGUAAAAUCAUAAAAUUUAUUUGCUAGGUACGUCAAAUACUCUAGAUCAAGUUUAACGGAGCCGAUCGACGAUUCGAAAGUCAUAACAUCGAAAACGAGCUGGAAGCAUGGAAGGCUCCGUGCUUCCGAUAGCAUAGUAGCCUCACUCCUAAUAUAUAUAUAUUUCGUGUCUAAAUCUUGGGCAGGUCCAUUUAAAAUUUUAGAUGGUUGACUUAUGCAGCUGGUUACACCGCGCAUUAUAUAUAUUAAUAUUAUAUUUUAUCUUGUCUAGAUUUGACUUAAUGAACAUAUGAGUUGUUUUGUUUCGUGCAUGACGGGUAUUCAUCUUAGCUGAUUGUUUUAAAACUCGUUGAAUUCAAAUAUUCAAUCAGAAUAUCUAGGAAUAUGUGAGUUAUUUUAAAACUUUUGUGGCAUGGAUUAGUUGCCCCAUUUAACAAGAAGUUUUUAAGCUGCUUAGGUGUAUAGAAUUUCCAAAGCCAUGGGAAGUGGGCAUAUUUUAUGGUGAAGUUAAAAACCAAGGGUAACAUGAGGGGGAGAAACCAACAAAUUGGCAGAGUAUGAUCUAAUAUUUAUAACUAAGCCUCACUUUUUGAAGCAAACUAGGCAAUUUUUUUUUUUUUUUAAUUAUGACAAAUUUUUGCUCUUCUAAAAGAAUGUCAUGAACAUCUUCUAUUAAUAAACAGUAGUCCUGAAAUAAUAAGAUUAAAUUUUCACCCACUUUCCUCCUGUUUUUUAAUAAGCAUUAUAUAUUUUUUGGACUUCUAUAGUAAUUGUUAUCAUUAUUGCUUAUCAACCUUUGAAAAGAAAAACCGACCGUCUCUAGAGCAAGUGACAGAGGGUUUAGUAGUUGGUACCCGAGAUCCAAGUUUGAAUCCUAGUUGAUUCACAUUUCCAGCUAAAUUUAUUUUUAUAUAAAAUAAACGAAGCGGAUAGCGUGUUACCUAUCUCUCAAAAAAAAAAAAAAANCCUGAAAUUUUGAUUUCGAUUCAUUGAAAGGUCCUCGUUUCUUCCUUUUUUUUUUUUUUUUUUUUGAAAGAAACAAUAGAUUCCAUCCAUGUGAUUAUUUAUUUUAUUCUAAAAAAAUAACUUAAAUUAAGUGUGCGCGCGCUUUGUGAAUAUAAAUACAGAAUUAUUUUUUUAUAUAAAAACAAGAAUAAUACUACAUGUACAUUUAAAAUAUUAGUAUAUAUGAAUCUUACACGUAAUUUUUAUGAGACCAAAAUUUAUUCACUUGUCUUAUCAUUUUCUUUUUUUUUGGGUGCUAUGAAUUCAAAAGACGUUUUAAACUCCAGAACCAUAGUGUACGUGUAAAAAGUAUACCUUAUAACAAAACAUUUGCGUGGAAAUUUUUAAUACCAACUACUAUAUAUAAAACCCUUCGACAAUUAAGCCCUAGGGGCCUAAAAGUCCAAUCCAAGUUGCAUCACCUUGUCCUAGUAUCCUAAUAGAUCUAGCUUAGAUGUCCAAGCCUCUUUUCUCUGAUACACUCCACUAGAUGAGCUUGCCCUAGCUGAUAACUUAACAAAGCAUUAAGUGGGAACAUGUGCCUUGUUCUAUGAAUUAAUUAGGAGCUAAGUGUGAUCUAAUGUUUAUAAAAUAAACAGUGUAACCGACGUAAUGCCCUAAUCAUGUUUCGUUGUUCAAAUUUCACUUUUUUGUUAUUAUCUUAUUAUGAUGCCCUAAGUUUAUCUAAUAUAUAGAGUGAGGCUACUAUACUAUCAGAAGCACGGAACCUUCCGUGCUUUCAGCUCGUUUUCGAUGUUGCGACUUUCAAAUCGUCGAUCGGCUCCGUUAAACUUGAUCUAGAGUAUUUNUUGUGUGUGCGUGUGUGUGUCUCUCCUUAUUAUCUUUUUCUAAUUAUUCAGAAACUGGGAGUAAGUAUGUUGAGGAGGGUGACUCUGGUAUUCACCAGAGCUCUGUACACAUUUUCGCAGCCGCCCUCCAAAUUUCGAACGCAGUCCUCCAACUCCUCCAAUUUCUCCAAAGCCUCCCUCCGAUCCAUCUCCUCUUCCUCCUCCCCGUCCACGGCUUCGCCUCGCUUCGUCUCCGCGGGCGGCUUGUUGCUCCUCGUCCUCCACCUCCACCGCAGCAGAUCCACCACCCACCAAACCCUCGCCGCCGCCGCCGACGACGACGACGAAGCCCUAGCGGGCGAGGGGGAGGCGAUGGGGCAGGACGCCGCGGCGGCGGCGACCCAGGUGGAGCAGGGCGGGGCGGAGGCGGAGAAGGAGGCGGAGGCGGAGGCGGAGAGGGCGGCGACGCCGGAGAAGAGGGCGGAUGAGGCGGCGGCGACGGCGGAGGCGGCGUCGGCGACGGCGGAGGCGAUGUCGUCGGCGGAGGAGGAGGGGCGGGGGAGGGGGAGGGGGAGGCGGAGGCGGCGGGGCAGGGAGCGGCGGAGGGAGCGGAGGGCGGAGGAGAGGCGGGCGGGGUCGCGGCGGAGGAGGGCGGAGCGGGCGCGGGAGAGGAGGGCGGGGAGGGAGAGGAGGGAGGAGCGGAGGAGGGCGUGGGCGUCGGCGAGGCGGAGGAAGGAGUCGAGGAGGGGGAGGAGGAGCGGGGAGCGGCGGAGCGGGUCGCGGGCGAGCGGGUGGCGGAGGAGCUGCGAGAGCGAGGAGAGGAGGAGGGCGAGGAGCGCCACCCCCUCGGCGAGCCACGCGGGGCUCGGAGUUCGAGCAGCCGGCCGCCCCUCGCCCUCCGCCCAGCAGCGCAGGCAGCGGCAGGCGUCGCCGAGGUCGGAGACCAGCGGGUGGAACCGCGACGGCAGGCUCGCCGACCGCGCGCGGUACGACGACCGCGCCCGCUGCUGCUGCUGCUGGCUUCUCGCUUCCGUUUGGAACGAGAUCGACCGCCGGAACCCCACCACCAUCUCUCUCUCUCUCUCUCUCUGUUUGUUGGAUUGAUUUCUUGGGUGCUGCAACCUUCAAUUUAUAAGGAGGAGGAGAAAUUGCAUCACUUAUUACGCACGGGUGCGAAGUGGGGGAGGGAGGAGGAGGAGGAGGAGGAGGAGGAGGAGGUCAAUGUGUACGGGGCCCACAUCCCUUGAAUGAGUCAGCCAAUAGAGGGACCGCACCACCCUGGCCCCGCUGGCCAAAAGGGUGGCUUCACUUAUCCAGGUAACAUAAUGUGCAUAUAUAUACAUACAUUAUUUAUGUUUUAAAUACUCCUCCCUUUCAUGCCCUGUUCUAAGAAUUUUAUGACAAUAAUAUUCUGUGGUUCCAUCGCUUCAUUAAUGCUCUUGUGAUGAUUUACUCCUCUUUCAUGCCUAGUUACUGCCAAAAUGUAUGCCCCGUAAAUUCGAAAGUACGAUACAGCAUUAUUUUCCUGAUGCCAAAAGUGAUACUCCUUACAUCUAUAUAUUUUGAGUGCAGAAACCAAAAUUUCGGCAACUAAUACUAUCGAUAAGGUUCAGUAUCUAUUCUUUUCGUUUGGGUCGGGUAUAAAAGUAAAAACUGUCUAUUAUUUCAGAGAUAGGUAUAAGUUUAGAUAUAAGCUUGGAAUAGAUUAAUUUUGCGUUUGAAUAAAAAUUGAGUUAUUUUCGAAAAUUAAAAAAAAAACGUUUGGAUAGAUAAAAUAAAAUAAAAAGAAUAAUAGGUAAUUAUAAAUAAAAAAUAAUAAUAUUGUCCCUCAUAUUAUAUUUGAAUUUAAGUUUUAUAUUUAAAUUUUUUAAUUUAAAUAUAUAACUUUUAAAUUUCAAAAAUUUAAAAUUUAAAUAUAAAUUUUUAAAUCUCAAAUUUAAAAAUUUGAAAUUCUAAAUUUAAAUUUAAGAUUAAAUCUAAACUUAAAAAUUUAAAAUAUUAAAAUUUUAAAUUUUAAAAAAAUUUAAAAUAUCAAUUUAAAAAUUAAAAUUUAGAAUUUAAAAUUAUAAAAUUUUAAUUUUAAGAUUCCAAAUUAUACCUUUUUAAAAUUUAAAAUUUAAAAUUUAAAUUUUAAAUUUUAAAAUUAAAUAAGACACCCCUAUUCCCACACAAGGGGUGGGAUAGCCAUCCCACCCCUUGUUUUUUUGUGUUUGGGGACUUUCCCCCAGCCAAACGACCGCUUGAAAUCUAAAAUUGAUAUGUCGUUGUCACUUUCCAAAUCUAGUAUUACAGGUUUAAUUUAUACUAAUGUAGAGUUUAGAGUUCGGAUUCUCUCUCCAAUACCAGGUACAUGAAUUGUGAGUCCUAACAUAUAUAACAGGUGCCCUUUGUGAAACCAAUGAAUUUGCUUAGCUACAUUUGGAUCAUCCCUCCAAUUAUUGCGUGGCCCCUAAUACGAGCAAAGAUGCGGAUCACCUUUUUAUAUCAUUCCCACCCAACAGAGAUUGCGAAAGAGAUAUAAAAGGAUCUCAGGCUCUCAAAUUUGCGCUGACCCAUUAAUUGCUUAUAAUGAUAUGAUGAGCCAUUUAACUGAAAUUCGGGACCUGUACAGUAUAAGGCGUAGCCCACAUAUUAAGUAGAUGGUUGUGAGCUUGUGAUUGAGAGACUAUCCUCCAACUCACAAACUAUCAGGUAAUGUAUACUAUUCAGAGCAUACAUCUAGUGUCAUUUAAUAUCAGAUCCAUUGCAGGACAAACCAUAUAAUGGAAGGAAAUUAGAUGGAUGAUGGAUUCAUUGAAGUGUUAACAUCAUACUAAAUGCGUGCCAUUUAUAUACUCCACAUAGUUUUCUUUUUCAAGGUUAAGUAGGCUCAUAUAUUGUCAUAAGAAAUAUAUUUUUACCAACUCUAUUUGCAGCGUUAAAAAAAAAAGAAAAGAAGAAGGUAGUUUAGGAAACAUACUCCUAGUUGAUUAAUUCGAGUUUCUAGUCUCCUAUGCCAUGUUUUGUUGUAAGAAAAAAAAAGUGUUAGAUCAUAUUAUAAAGCUUAAGAAGCCUAACGAAUAAUUUGGUGAUAACCACUCUUUGUUUUUGCUCUUGUAAUGAUCAGGUCAUAUAUUGUACUUGUGGUAACUGCUUGACCCUUUCAUUGUUCACGCUAUCCUAGAGUAAUUACUACCAAACUGACUAUCAUGGCUGUAGAAAAUUACUUUAAUUGAAUGAUCAAUCGAGUAUAAUUGAGUGAGUUACCCACUCAAGCACAAUGUGAAUUCAUCGGUGAAAGACCUUAAUAACCUUUUCUAUUAGGGACUUGAUAUUUAUGUAGCUGAUUUUGCUAUUCGUGCGGCACAUUCGCUGCAUCUUGCUAUGAUUCAGACUAUUUUACGCAAUGACUAGCUAAAAAUAGCUUGAGUAAUACAAAUUUACUUUUGAUUAUGAUCCAAUUUUCGUUCUUUUGGUGUUUAAAUUGUCUGCAUAGCUUUUUCGAUUAUAAUUAGGAGAGCAUUAGCUAUCGAUGUUGAUGUAGUUCUAACCAACUAUUGAUGAGGUGUGGCCAAAUCGCAGAAUCACUUGAACUAUGCCAUGCAGUGCAAAUGUCAUGGAAAAUGCACCAGAAAACACUAGUUGGGGGGGGGGGGUUUUGGUUGUGUGGCGGGAAUCGGCAGGGAUGGGCGGGAAUGAUUAUAAGGAUAAUAAUAGGUAUUAGUUUCGAUCAUUUGUUCGCCACAUUGGGAUUUUAAUACUCGAAUCCAAUGACACUAUGAAGAUGAUUCAGUUGUUAUGAAAAUUUGGAGAUAGCAUGACAAAAUCAACUUAAUUAACCAAAGCCUUACAUUACUGCAUAAAAAUAGGCUUCAGCUGAAACAAUCGCAGUGAACUUGACCACCGCCUGCAUAUUUCUGACGUCUUAAAUAUCAUUUUCACAAAAUGUUACCGCAGAUUAAAAUACAGUCAUAUAAUAAACAUAUUUAAGGAAGAUAAAAGCAUAUGAAUAGCUUGGCAAUAAUAGUAAGAUCAGAAUUAAGCUUAUUUUUCAGCUUAUUGCUUCUCAAUUCUACAAUUUAGGGUACACUUUGAUACACCUACAACUACAAUCACAUCCAUGUCGUGCAGACCGCCCAACUUUAAACAUACACAUAAUUACACAUCGCGAUCAUGCAGCUUUUGUUUACUUCGGCGGCAUUAUCUUCCAUCAAAAACUGGUCAUUUUACUUACGGUGGACAUAUUAGAUCUGAAUCAAAGACAUCUUUGCUUACUCUUGCUCGCAGUAUCUCAUUUUCGGUCAAGCUUGAGCAGAGACUAUCAGGAGAGAGUUUAUUGGCCCCCCGCUUCACAAAACGGAUCCACACAUGGCCUUUUGAACUAGCAUACAAAGAGCUACCAGGUACAGUACCUUUUCCUUGUACGUAGCAGCAAAUUAUUCAAGUAGAAAUAGCCCACAAAAGGGUAUUAGAGUACCAGAUUAGAGUUUGGAGGCAGUGGCCAGCUUGAUGAGAUCCUUUCUCAGAAUCUUCCCCGAUGCGCUCUUCGGAAUGUUCGAUACAAAGGCCACUUUUCGAAUCUUCUUGUAGGGCGCCACCUGCGAUUAUUUAACACAGAAAUUAGAAUACUACAUACUAAAAUGAUGAAUGGACCCUAAAGCUAUGUUCAUCGAAUUGCAAAAGCGAACCGAAAAUAAUGGUUUUCAUCUUGUUUGUUUUUAUUUUUGUGAUUUCCAACUAGCUUAAAUUUGUAGAGAAAACGAAGACAAUGUACAGCAGCAAAGAUCUACAAACCUGGAUUUACCAAUUAGAGACAUUGAACCAUUUACUGAAUCGAGAUUUACCUGCUUCUCCACAAACUUCAUCACCUCAUUCUCGGACAAUUGGCUCCCGUCCUUCCGCACCACAUACGCCAUCGGAACCUGCCCCGCCGCCUUAUCUGGGAACCUGCACCAAUUUCUCAACAGUUAAGAAAGCCAACAUAGACCGCAUCAAACAGUGCAUUUCUACUCCUACAUAUGGCAAGGCCCUGCAAUUCCUUACGGUAUAACAGCGGCGUCGACAAUGUCAGGGUGAGUUAGCAACAAUGCCUCCAACUCCGCAGGAGGCACCUGUAAGAAAGCAUUAUCCGCCACACAAUCAAAAUCAGACGACUCACGUUAGUCAUCAGUCCUGCAUAUUCUAACUGGACCGCCAAAAGUACCUGAUAGCCUUUGUACUUGAUCAGCUCCUUGAGCCGAUCCACCACGAAGAGGUACCCGUCCUCGUCUAUGUAGCAGAGAUCUCCUGUUCUUAGCCACCCCUCCGAGUCCAAAGUCGAGCGCGUGGCCUCCUCGUUCUUGAAAUACCCUGGAAACAUGAUGGGCAACAUUGUCAUUUCAUAAAUAACAGAAUAACAAGUACAGAAUCUUUGUAGACUUGGCGCGUGCACAAAAUUUCUGCAUGCUAAAUAAUCUAGAUGUUUAGCUGAAUUGGCCGACUGUCAAUUUACAGCCUCACAUUUCAGCUAGACGGUCCGAUCAACGGUCUGCAAAGUUUUUAAGUCAUCGAAUCUAUAGAGAAUCUGUGCUUGUGAGUAACUUCCAAUGACGAGACUCUUUAAUUCGCGGUCGAUAUAUGUUGGUUUAAGAUUCAAGUGUUGUGCAUUCUCCCCAUGGUAGACCAUCUGAUUAAUCGUCUACAUCGCUUCAGUAUUCGUGUACUAUAGGUCACGGAUGAUAUGUUAUACUGUCCCGCAAGAGGGCUCUUGCAUAAUGUUGUUGAAAUAUUGUUUGAACUACGGACAAAUUAACAUGUCCAACAAAUGAUAAAAUAUUGACAAAAUUAUCUAACAUUUAUGAGUCUAGGUAUAGUGCGGCCAUUCAAAACUCACGAAACUACUUGUACCCGCACCAUAAGUCCACAACAUUAAGAUCAAUAUAUUAGGGUAAUAAUAGGUGAGGGAUAAUCUACACAUCUGUAUAUUUGUUGUUAAGAUUCGAUUAGAUUUGUAAUUAGUUAUCUAGUUAAAUAAAAAUUAAUAUUUAAAUUUAUUAAAAAUAAAUUAAAAUUUAAAAUAUUAAUUAGAAUAUAAAUAUAACUAGAUUAGAAUAAAUAUUUAAAUUUAUUGAAGAUAAAUUAAAUAUAAAUUUAAAUAUUUUUUUAAGAAAAAUAUAUUUUUAAAUAUUAAUUGGGGUGAUUUCGGUACAUUCUGAUUGACCUUUUAGAUAUAGGACCAUAGUAUAUGUAAAUUGUGGUGUAGUCUGUGGAGAGUGUACGGCUGAGUGUCAGGUGGUGUCGUACGUGGUUACAUGCACCUAGUGCAUUGAUGCGCCCAACAAAAAAAUCUUUAGGUCUAUGGAGGAUCAAAGAAUAUUCUAUGCAGAAGAUUAGUCAGAUGUUUUUAUUUUUUUAUUUAAUAAAUUUUAUUUUUAUCCGUAUAUUUUUUAUUUUGUUAUUUUUUUUUAUAAUUAUCUCAGUUUUUGUUGAGAAUAUAGAUUUAUGGUAAAAACUUUAUUUGCAUUUCCGUUGCGAAAUCUCAACAACCGGUAUCGAAUUUACAACAGUCAGCGGAUUGCGGAUUGCGAAUUUUUAAAAUUUGGUACUAGAAAAAGUACCAGAUUCUCAGCAUUUAUGCACAAUGCAUUUUUCUAUUUUCUUCGAAAUUAAAUUUAAAUUUAUGAUUUAUGAUGGUGGAAUACGGAACACGAAUGUGGAGAUGAGCAAGGUUAAGGCACCUUUCAUGACGUAGGGCCCGCGGAUCCAGAGCUCGCCGGUGCGGUUGACGGGGAGGGGCUUGCCGGUGUCGGGAUCGACGACCCGCGCCUCGGUGUUGGGCGCCAGCAGCCCCGCCGAGCCGUACCUCCGGCAUUCCUCGGGCGAGUCGGUGGAGGCGCCGAGCGCCGUGGUCUCCGUGAGGCCGUACGCCUGCAGAAUCUCGAUCCCGGGGUACUUGUCCCUGAACCCCUCGAUCACCUCCCUGCUCAGCGGCGCACCCGACGAGUGUAUCCUCCGCACCCGCCCCAGCCGCAGCUUCCCGCUCCCGACCCCCAGCAUCGCCACCAGGAUCGGCGGCACCAGCGGGAGGUACGUCACCCCGUAGGCCUCGAUCGCGCGCAGCAUCUCCCCCAUCUCGAACUUGGGGAGCACGACGAUGGUGGAUCCCGCCCCCAGAAGCCCCGUGGAGAACGCGACGAGGCCGUAGACGUGGAACAUCGGGAUCGUGCAGAGGAAGGUCUCCGGUUCGUCGGGGUUGAACCGGCUGAUGAUGAUCUGGACCAUGGAGAUGAGGUUGCGGUGGGUGGCGACCACCCCCUUGCUCGCCCCCGUCGUCCCCGAGGAGUAGAGCAGCGUCGCGGGGUGGAGCUGCUGAGGGCGGAGCGGCGGCGGCGGCUGCUGCUGCUGCUGCUAGGGGCCUAGGAGACGUGGUAGCGGCUGUACGAGCGGCGGCUAGGGCUGGGGUAAGGGGUGGGCUACUACCUCGGGCACGCGGUCCUGCNUCGGGACCGUGCAGAUGAAGGUCUCCGGCUCGCCGCCCCCCGAGGAUUCGUCGGGGUUGAACCGGCUGACGAUGAUCUGGACCAUGGAGAUGAGGUUGCGGUGGGUGGCGACCACCCCCUUGCUCGCCCCCGUCGUCCCCGAGGAGUAGAGCAGCGUCGCGGGGUCGUCCUGGCGCACGGGCUCCAUCAUCGGGUGGGGAAUGGGGUCGGGAUCGGCGGCGAGCAUGUCGGCGAUGGUGCAGAGGAUCCGGGGAUCGUCGUCGUCGUCGUCGGCGGCGGCGGCGAGGCGGGAGUCGUCGAGGAGGACGAUGGGGAGGUCGGGGCGCGCGGGGAGCUUGGGGACGAGGGCGCGUGGGGCGAAGGCGACGGCGGGGGCGGCGUCGGCGACCUGCCUGGCGAUCUCGGCGGGGGUGUUGACGGGGUUGGUGGUGGUGAUCACGGCGCCGAGGGACAUGGCGGCGAGGGCGACGACGGGGAAGUGGAUGGAGUUGGGGGAGAGGAGGAGGACGACGAGGCCCUUGCGGAGGGAGAGGGGCGGGGCGCGGAGGGACGAGGCCACGGCGGCGACGGAGCGCCAGAGCUCCGGGAAGGAGACGCGGCGCCCCGUGGCGGCGUCGAUGAGCGCGGUGGUCCCCGAGUGGCGCCGCGACGUGAGGAACGUGGUCACGUCGAGGUCGGGCUCCGCGGGGAGCGCCACGGGCCGUCGCUUGCUAUAGAAGGUCGCGUUCGCCGCGCAGAACCCACUGCGCGGAUCCACCUCCCAUUCCGAUCCCUUCUUCUUCUCCGGGUACGCCAUGAUCCUCUCUCCUCUAUCUCUCUCCUCUAUCUCUCUCCCUCUUUCCUACUUAAUUUAUCUCACCCAUUACUGUGCGUUUUAUAUAUAUACAAUGCUAGGCGAAUGAAUCUAGAAGAUAAGCUACCUAUCUCUCAAACAAAAAAAAAAAGAAAAAAAAGAAUUUAGAAGGUAAGCAAUAAAUGUGAAUCAGUUGGGGGGCAGGGGAACUAACUUGAUAAUGGACGCAGGUACGAGAAGAAGCAAAACUUCUCAGGGUCCACUUUUAGCUUUCUUUCUAAAAAUAAUAGCUGCACGUUAAACAUAAAUAUAAUAGAGCGGAGUUACUGUAUUAUCAAAAAUGUAAAGUAUUUGCUGCUUUCAAUUUUUUUAUCCUUAGAUUAAUUUUUUUAAUUAUUUCUAACAUUUAAAUUAACAUUAUUACUCUAUAAAAACUACUCAACUCUAGAUGACCAUUCAACUCAGAUAGAGAAAACCGCAGUCAUCCUAAUCGUUCAAUUUUAAUUCAAAGUUAAAAAAUCAGAAACGCCAAAUUUUCUAUACUUUCGGCAGUAUGGUAGCUCUAUAAAUAAAUUUUAAAAUUUUUAAGUUUAUGCCAGCACAAUCAUCAAAUAAUAAGACACCAAAAUACCUUACUACUACUUAUUUAAAUAUAGUAGUUCAGUUCUAUUUAGGCCCAUCUUUGUUAGUAGGAAACUGCAUGCUCAAGAUUAAUAUGUUGAUAAUUUUAUAUAAUAUUUUAAGUUAUGAAUUAAUUAAAUUCUCGCUAAUAGCAGUUUUGAAGACCAGUGGGCAAAUGAUAAGAAAAGAAGGAAUUUUUAGUAUAUAAACUACGAUGUAAAAUUUUUAAUGUAAUUAAAUUACGCACACACCUUAAUAUCAAUAAAUACAAUAACAACACAUAAAAAAGACAAUAUUUCAAAAAAUCUAUGGAAAAUGCUAGUUGUUCACUUAAAAAUAAGAUGUAAAUUUUAUACCCAUUAAUCUAAAAAAUUAGAAUUUAUUACAAAAUUUUAAUAUUAAAAAAUUGGGUAAGCUAAGAUUGAAAAUAUUAAACUUUAAAAGAAUAAAAUAUAUAAUUUAUAUAAUAUAAAAAAAAAUUUAUUCAUUUAGUUUUAUUGCGUCUCGGUCUCUCACCAACGCCCUUGCUCGUAACAUGCGCCUCGGUCUCUCACCAACGCCCUUGCUCGGCUCCGUACGGAAGAGCCCACAACGGCUUGGCUUAAUUGAAGCUUUUAUUAAAUAUACGUGGCCUUUUGGCUACAUGUACUUUUACAUAUCUAUCCAUCUGUCUUUCUAUCUAUCCAACAAUCUAUGUACAUAUAUUAAUGGAUAAUACCGUCACAUCAAGAAAAACGGCUCCUUAACGAACCGCGUUAGUACCGACUGUCCCUAUAGGAAAUGAUAAAGAAUUUGGUAGUUGAUAUUCGAGAUCCCAAUUUCGAAUUCUAAUUAAUUCACAUUUUCAGCUAAAUUUAUUUCUAAAUAAAAUAAACGAAACGGAUAGUGCGGUACUUUUUUUUU
rnacentral:lncRNA from 1 species